AACAAGGUCUCCGUUGGUGAACCAGCGGAGGGAUCAUUACAGAGUUGCA
rnacentral:rRNA from 1 species